CUGUCCUCUCACCCUAAACACUGAAUUAGUACUCACUCACUGGUCCCUCAUUAGUUCCCGGAUUUAUCUCAACUCUGCAUACUCUUUCUCUCUCUUCUCUUCAUCUCUCUCUUCCUGAGACCUGCUGUGGUGCCCUGUGUGCCAGAGUGGAGCCAGCAUGUAACAUCCUCACUCCGGCUGUUAACAGAGCUGGGGCAGGUGGGAUCGCUGGACCCAGUCGGUCUCCCCCCAUCCCUCUCUCUUUUUUUCUCUCUCACUUGCUCUUCAUCUCCUCAUUCGCUUUUAUUCAAUUCUGUGUAUGGGCAAGGAGGGCUAACAUGGACUAUUUGGGUCUUUUUAUCCUUCUAAUGCUUCUGUGUUUCCAGUGGACAACUGCCCCUGCUGCUGAGGAAGUUACCUGGACCUACACUGGCUUGGUGGGUCAGUCCGAGUGGUCGCAGUAUUUCCCUGACUGUGGUGGUACUUCCCAGUCCCCUGUGGAUGUGGUAACCACCCAGACUAAAUUUGACCCUAGUUUGAUCCCUCUGACCCCACUGGGCUACAGUCAGCACGGCAACAAGCCCUUCACUCUGUACAACAACGGACACACAGUGGUCAUUGACCUGCCAGACUGGAUGGGACUGGGGGGGCUGCCCUGGCUCUUUACAGCUGUGCAGAUGCACCUCCACUGGGGCAGCGGCGGCCCGAGUCACGGGGGCAGUGAACAUACCAUCAAUGGACUGAGUGCAGAUGCAGAGAUACAUGUGGUGCACUACAACUCUGAGCUCUACCCCAACGUGUCCACAGCAAUGACGCAGAGUGACGGUUUGGCGGUUUUGGGAAUUCUCAUCGUGACAGGUGAGGAGACCAACCUGGCAUUUAAUAACAUCCUCAACUACCUGAGCCGCAUCAGGCAUGCUGAUCAGAAGGUGUCCAUCCCAGCCUUUGACAUCCAGUCGCUGCUCCCUAAGGAUCUGGGGCGCUACUAUCGCUACAACGGCUCCCUAACAACUCCACCCUGCUACCAGAGUGUGAUCUGGACACUGUUCAAUGAGAGGGUUCAAAUCUCAAAGGCACAGCUGCUAAAGAUAGAGACGAUACUUUACACCAGUAAAGCCAAAGAUCCAGACAGAAUGCUGCUGCAGGACAACUACCGCGCGACACAGCCACUCAACCACAGGGUCGUCUUCGCCUCCUUCACUGCAGAAUCAGGAAAGGAGCUCUCUUCUGGUGAAGUCACAGCUAUAGUAAUAGGAGUGAUGUGUGGCUGUGUAGGGCUGGCUGUAAUAAUUCGCUUCAUCGUAAAGACCAUACGAUUUUGUACACUCCUCCACCGCGAAUCAGUCGUGGUAAACAGGUGGUUUACCUGAUCUCAUUACUGACAAGGAAGCGCAACUUGCACUGACAGUGUGACUUCUUCUUUACCUUGUGCUCGACAGAUAUCCUUAAGCGCAGAUUUUAGAUCAAUAAAACCCUGAUGUAAAUCAGAGUCUGACAUGGCCUGUGUUACUGGCUGGUUUUGGCUCAUCACAAUUGAUAUUGGUAUACAUUUAAGUCAAUAAGUAAAACUUGUAUUUUGUUAUUGGCAUUGUGUUGGUUGGACUCUACAAUGGAAAUAUCAUUAAAUAUAUAAUCUUCUUUGUAAGGUUUUACCAUGAAAUGUAAAAACAAUCCUAAAAUUAGCGCUAAGGAUAAUCUGAUCAUCUGACCUCUGCUGCAAUAACAUGGCUGUUUCCCAAUAUUUUCUCACACAAUCACCACAGAUUAAUGAAGGUAUGUGGUGGUCCCCACCAGUCAGUGAUUUAACCUCUGCAUUGCUUUAAUCAGGGGUUCCCAAAGUUCCCAUGUAUGUUCCAGGGAGCCUCCAGGGAGUGCCCUUACAUCCCCCUUUCGGGAACCACCGGCUUUCAUAAUGUCAAUCCGCUGUGUGCAAUAACUUUAAAAUGUCACCUCCAAUCUAAUGUGAGCGGAGAAGGGAGAGAGUUUGAAUUUUAAAUGUUUUGCACACUGUCUCUUUGAAAUGUUAAAUCCAAAUCUCUGUUUUGGUUAUGUGAUUCUGUAUUUUUGAUCUGUGACAGCUCUACCUCUAGCUGGGACGUCCUACCCAGUAACCGGCCUGCUCCAAUGUCAAGGUCAACGUUUCAAAAUUACAACUUUUGACCUCAAAACCUUAGCUUCUAAGAGUUACAUUCCUGACCCCAUCUCUUUGCUUUAACCAACUCCCUGUAGUGACUUAUCCCCUUCUUUAACACCUCUUCUAAUAGUAGUGCUUAAAGACAUUCUACAGACUGUAAUGAAAAUAGUAUUAUAUAUAUAUGUACUCUAUAAACUUUUAGGGAUGCCUUGGGGAAUUGCCACAUUGUUGCCUGUGGUUUUAGAAAUUCUGUCACAUGAGUAAAAACUAGAAGAACAAUCUUUUAAUUCUAAAGUUUUAGGUAUGAAAGUUUUGUCAGCUGGUUAUUAGUCUCACAUUGCCAAAUCUCCCCAGCACUGUGUCAACGAUGGAGUAUGUGGUCGGGCUACUCCACGUAUCUGUUCUGGGAUAGGGGAAAAAACACUGUGGCUUGUCUGUAUUUCUUUAAACCAUUCACAAUCAUCCUGGGCAGCUCUAAAGGCCGAUAGCGAAAAUAGCAAGAGGGGAGGGAUCAGGCAGGUCAGGGUAUCCCAGUUCUAGCUCUGUCAAUACUGAAACAUGAAAACACAUGAAAGCAUGCCGGCCAAACAACUAAAAACUGUAUUGUAAAAGGUCGCCAUUUCUGAAAUCCCUCCAGUGGACAUUCAAACCAAGAUGGAGAAGGGAUGCAACCAUAUCCAGUGGAUAUCCAUGUUAAAACAUUUCUUCCCUCUUUGUUUAUUAUAACAUGACUGAUACUUUUUUUCACGAAAUUAUCAUAUAAUAUCUCUCAGUCGUGGAGGCCUAAAAUUAUCUCAUGGUGGUCUUUAACUGAACAACAUUUUGGGCUCCGCUAGUUAUUUUAUUGAACACUUGAGCCCUCUUCAUGCACAACCUUCCAUGCUUUUUUUAACAAAUAAGGACCUCUGCUGGACACCAUUACAAACUACACUGACAGCAUACUUGCAGCAUAUGUUAGACUCAGUGGGAAUGACUCUUCCUUUUCAUGUUUCAGGAUGAAGGGGCCAGAGAAAGCAAAAGAGAAAAAACAAGACAUGGCUCUGAACUCAACCUCUGAAGCAGAAAAGAAAGAGGAACCCUCACCGUCUCCUCAGACUGAGCCCUAGCUGACAGCAAUUCAGGGUUUUGGUCCAGACAAAUGAAAAAUACUCCCUCUUGCCAAUAAUGUUAUCACUGAUCCAACUUGUUUUUCCUCAUCAGUUACAAAAUGCAACCGGAAAAACAUUUUCCAUAGUAGGCUAAACUGGACACAGAACAAAUCCCCUGCUGCCCUGAUCACUUCACUGUUUUGAGUCUUUUUUCUCACACCCAAAUUCAGCAAUGUUGGCCGUCCUAGUAUCAGAAGGUUUUUUUUCAGUUUGCACGUGAAGCACUUGGUGUACAAAUGUCAGUGGCUCUGAGUCAUAUAUUUGCUCUUGCCGGGGAUGCAUGAUUGGUUCAUGUAAAUACUUUGUAAUAUACAAUAUAUUAUUUUUUGUUUGUUUCACGUUUGACCAUUAUUUUAUCUUCUUGGCUUAAAACACACGCACACUACAUUGUAUGCCAAGUUAUGUGAAAUAAGUACCUGUGUAUUCAUACUCAAUGUAAUAUUAUUUUCUUUUGCCCCUGGACUUAAACAUUGAGACACAGCAAAUGAAAAUCUACGAGGAAGGUUUUAAGGGAUUUACUGUGCUACGUGUAAACUGAUGCUGUCCAAACUAUACGUCUCUGAAGUCAAUAUAGCGCAUUGUAUUGUAAAUGGAGGAGUUAUAUUUAUGUACAUGUUUUCAUUCUAUUGGGAACAUUGUUGUUUGUGCCACAUAUCUUUGUCUGAUUGAAUUUUUUUUGCUGUAUAUAACUGGUCAACAUGGGCACCUCAUUAAAAUACUUGAACUUGAA